GAAACACGGACCAAGGAGUUCAACUGGAUUGCGAGUCGUAGAGAUUUUUUCACGAAACUCACUACCGGCGAAGCGAAAGCGAGACGGUGCGAAAUAAAAUAUACGUAUUUUAUUGCAGCACAGGCUGAUUACGGAUAUGCAUAGAGCUAGUCUGUGUGCAUACUUUUAUCAACUUAUACCGAUAAAAGACUAAUCAAGCUAGAGAGCACUUUAGUUGAGACCCGAAAGAUGGUGAACUUUGCCCGGACAUGGUGAAGCCAGGUGAAAACUUGGUGGAAGCUUGCGUUGUGCGGAACUGACGUGCAAAUCGUUGCCGCCUGAACUGGGUAAAGGGGCGAAAGACUCAUCGAACCAUCUAGUAGCUGGUUCCCUCCGAAGUUUCCCUUAGGAUAGCUCGAAUUUAUUUUGUUCACUUCUUUACGAAAGAGUAACACAAGGGUAAAGCAAUGAGACGCGGUAUCUGUGGGUCUUAUUUAAAUGACCUCGGCCUUCUCUCAAACUUUAAAUCUGUGCGAAUAUAUAUAUGCUUACUUAGAAUAAUACACAUUACGUUGUAUUAGCGAAGCUAUAUAUCGUAUCUAAAAUUCGUAGUGGGCCAUUUCUGGUAAGCAGAACUGGCGAUGAGGGAUUCAACCUGACGUUUUCAAGAUAAGCCGGGCUUAAUCAUAUCUGCUCCAACCUUCCGAUAAACGCGA
rnacentral:rRNA from 1 species